GACGAACGCUGGCGGCGUGCCUAACACAUGCAAGUCGAACGGAAAGACCCUGAGUUUGUGGGGUGCUCGAGUGCCGAACGCGUGAGUAACACGUGAGUAACCCGCCCUUGACUUUGGGAGAACUUCACGAAACAGGGGCUAAUACAGGAUAGAAGCUCCUGCUGCGUGGUGGGGGAUGGAAAGAGUCGGCGGUGGGGGCUGGACUGGCGGCUUAUCAGCUUGUUGGUGGGGUAGUGGCUUACAAAGGCUUUGACGGGUAGCCCGCCUGAGAGGGUGACCGGCCACAUGGGGACUGAGGUACGGCCCAGACUCCUACGGGCGGCAGCAGUGGGGAGUAUUGCAGAGUGGGCGGAAGCCUGAUGCAGCGACGCCGCGUGCGGGAUGACGGCCUUCGGGUUGUAAACCGCUUUCGACUGUGACGAAGCGGGCGUGACGGUAAUGGGUAAAGAAGCACCGGCUAACUACGUG
rnacentral:rRNA from 1 species